UCGAGUUUGAUCCUGGCUCAGAAUCAACGCUGGCGGCGUGCCUAACACAUGCAAGUCGAACGCGAAAGGGGCUUCGGCCCUGAGUAGAGUGGCGAACGGGUGAGUAACACGUGGGUGACCUACCCUCGAGUGGGGGAUAACAUCCCGAAAGGGGUGCUAAUACCGCAUGACAUCCUGUCUUUGAACAGAUGGACAUUAAAGCCGGGGAUCGCAAGACCUGGCGCUCGAGGAGGGGCUCGCGUCCGAUUAGCUAGUUGGUGGGGUAAUGGCCUACCAAGGCGACGAUCGGUAGCCGGCCUGAGAGGGCGGACGGCCACACUGGGACUGAGACACGGCCCAAACUCCUACGGGAGGCAGCAGUGGGGAAUUGUUCGCAAUGGGCGCAAGCCUGACGACNCAACGCCGCGUGGAGGACGAAGAUCUUCGGGGC
rnacentral:rRNA from 1 species